AUGUCCUUGUGUUAUUUGCUGAUUGUUUUUGUACCAAGAUCAGUGAUUGUCAAAAAGGACACAUAGUAAAACCAAUGACUCGUUACUGUUUGAAAGCGGCCAAUUUAAAGCCAUUUAAACAUUUCCAUACAUUGGUUACAUUC
rfam:Stomoxys calcitrans breed 8C7A2A5H3J4 unplaced genomic scaffold Scaffold359, whole genome shotgun sequence.